rnacentral:rRNA from 1 species
GACGAGCGCUGGCGGCAUGCCUAAUACAUGCAAGUCGAACGAUGAUAUCACUGCUUGCAGUGAUUGAUUAGUGGCGAACGGGUGAGUAACACGUGAGGAACUUGCCCAUGAGCGGGGGACAACAUUCGGAAACGGAUGCUAAUACCCCAUAGGUGGAUUGGUCGCAUGACGAAUUCAUUAAAGGUGGCUCUGCUACCACUCAUGGAUAGCCUCGCGGCGUAUUAGCUAGUUGGUAAGGUAAUGGCUUACCAAGGCAGUGAUACGUAGCCGACUUGAGAGGGUGAUCGGCCACACUGGGACUGAGACACGGCCCAGACUCCUACGGGAGGCAGCAGUAGGGAAUCUUCCACAAUGGGUGCAAACCUGAUGGAGCAAUGCCGCGUGAGUGAAGAAGGUCUUCGGAUCGUAAAGCUCUGUUGUUAGAGAAGAACACGUGCUAGGUAACUACUAGCGCCUUGACGGUAGCUAACCAGAAAGUCACGGCUAACUACGUG